UUAACAAAAACAUGUCCUUUUGAUUUUAAUUUAAGGUCUGAUCUGCCCAAUGAUAAGUUUAAAUGGCCGCGAUAUUUUGAUCGUGCGAAGGUAGCAUAAUCAUUAGCUUUUUAAUUGAAAGCUGGUAUGAAGGAUUGGACAAGAAUCUAACUGUCUCUAUUUUAAUUUUUGAAUUUUAUUUUUUAGUUAAAAAGCUUAAAUUCUUUUGUAAGACGAGAAGACCCUAUAGAGUUUAAUAUCUAAGAAUUAACGAUUGAUUGUGGAGGAAAUUCUCUUUAGUUGGUAAGAUAUUUGGUUGGGGUGACAGAAAAAUUUUAUAAACUUUUUCUUUUAAAAAUAUAUAUUUAUAGAUUUUUGACUUAAUUUAUUAGUUAAAAGAUUAAAUUACCUUAGGGAUAACAGCGUAAUUUUUCUAGAGAGUUCAUAUCGAAAGAAGAGAUUACGACCUCGAUGUUGGAUUAAAGUUAAAAUUUGGUGUAGAAGCUUUAUUAUUUAGUCUGUUCGACUAUUUAAACUUUACAUGAUCUGAGUU
rnacentral:rRNA from 1 species